GAUGAACGCUGGCGGCGUGCCUAAUACAUGCAAGUCGAGCGAACGGACGAGAAGCUUGCUUCUCUGAUGUUAGCGGCGGACGGGUGAGUAACACGUGGAUAACCUACCUAUAAGACUGGGAUAACUUCGGGAAACCGGAGCUAAUACCGGAUAAUCUUUUGAACCGCAUGGUUCAAAAGUGAAAGACGUUCUUGCUGUCACUUAUAGCUGGAUCCGCGCUGCAUUAGCUAGUUGGUAAGGUAACGGCUUACCAAGGCAACGAUGCAUAGCCGACCUGAGAGGGUGAUCGGCCACACUGGAACUGAGACACGGUCCAGACUCCUACGGGAGGCAGCAGUAGGGAAUCUUCCGCAAUGGGCGAAAGCCUGACGGAGCAACGCCGCGUGAGUGAUGAAGGUCUUCGGAUCGUAAAACUCUGUUAUUAGGGAAGAACAUAUGUGUAAGUAACUGUGCACAUCUUGACGGUACCUAAUCAGAAAGCCACGGCUAACUACGUG
rnacentral:rRNA from 1 species